rnacentral:lncRNA from 10 species
CCCUCAUCUGGAAUGCCUGCACUCUAAAACCUGGAAAGCUCAUGUCCAAGAUCCUCCAGGAAGUCUCCUCUGACUACAUCAGCCCAGAUUUACCACUUACCGCACUUGAGUUUGUACCAACCUAUUCAGCAUUGAAGCACUUCAUGUGAGUUACAUUUCGUUUGAUAUCUAGAGUGUAAGUAACUUACAAAUAUAAAGACCUAGUCUUAUACUUCUCUUUGAGCCUUAGUUCUUAAUGUGGAAGGGACUUACUGAUUGAUGAUGAGUUUAUGAGCUCAUGGCUUUAGAACAUAGUCCUAGCUCCAAAUUCUAAGAAUAUUCACUAUCAGGGUAAGCACCUAAGCCCUUGGAAAGGAGUAGUGAUGAUGAUGAUGUUAACAGUUAGCAUUUGUCCUUACUUUGUGCCAGGUACUGUUUUAAGCAGUUCACAUGUAAUUAUUCAUUUAAUCCUCCUAGAAGAUAGUAUUUUAAUAUCCGCAUUCUCAGAAGAAGAAACAUGGACACAGAGAUAUUAGGGUGGAAUUCAACCAAGGGUGUAAUGGCUUUGAAGCAGGCUGGCCUCACUUUGAACUCAGGAGAAGUGGAACAGAGUUGCAUAUUUUCUUAAGGUCCUAGAAAACAUAAGGUCCUUUUAUAACAUAAUGUGACACAGAAAUAUAUUACUUGAUCUGAAAAUUAAUUUUUUGUAUAAGCACUAUCAUACACUAUUGAUGCAAGUCAACAAUCAUUUUGUGGGGCAAUUUGGUAAUAUCAAAUUGGUAGAACAAUCUUUUUGUAAGGAAAUUUGGUACUAUCUAUCAAAAUGUAAAAUACAUAUACCUUAUAUCCCAGCAAUUGCACUGUUAAGAAUGUACUCUCAGAAGCAUGGUCAGGAUAUGUGUAAAAUAUAUUGAUUGAAGCACUGUUAGUAACAGGAAAACAAACUGGAAACAAACUAAAUGCUUAUCCUUAGGGGGUACUGGUUUAAAAAUUACACUACAACCAUGCAAUGGAAAAAUCAGGUAUUUCUUUGUCCUCUCCAAAUGUGUUAGAACUCCACCAUUUCUUUAUCCCUGAUUGAGCAAAUUGAAAUGUUAAGCAUUUUUCUGCUUAAGCCCAUCUGGAAUUCCCCGGUAUAAUUUUCAAUACUUCUGAGCUGCUAUUUCAC